CUUCUCUGAAACUAAUUUCAGAAACGUACUUGUCUAUCCCCUUUUCAAACCAGCUCUCAACUCUCCCAUUUCCCUCAACCUUCUUCCUCAAAUUUUCCUCUCACUGAUCCCGUAUAAAAUUGACUAGGUGUUGUUCCUGAAAUCCCGACGCAGAGGGUUCCCAAUUCCACCGGUCAAUUCCUUCCAUCCGACCGGGUCUUCCGGGUUAUUCGGUGCGACAAUUUGUCUUUGGGAGCUAGAAUUUCUUCAUCUCAAGAUGCAGCAGAUGAUACUCCCUUAGAGCAAGCACUGGACAAUGAGGAACCGACACCUAGUAUUCAGUAGCUUCUUAGUUUGCAGUUUUUAUCCUUAGUUUU